GAUGAAGAAGUAGCGAAAUGCGAUAAGUAGUGUGAAUUGCAGAAUUCAGUGAAUCAUCGAAUCUUUGAACGCACAUUGCGCCCCUUGGUAUCCCGAGGGGCAUGCCUGUUCGAGCGUCAUUUCACCACUCAAGCCUGGCUUGGUGUUGGGCGACGUCCCCUUUGGGGACGCGCCUCGAAACGCUCGGCGGCGUGGCACCGGCUUUAAGCGUAGCAGAAUCUUUCGCUUUGGAAGUCGGGGCCCCGUCUGCCGGAAGACCUACUCGCAAGGUUGACCUCGGAUCAGGCAGGGAUACCCGCUGAACUUAAGCAUAUCAAUAAGCGGAGGA
rnacentral:misc_RNA from 1 species